ensembl:lncRNA
UGGUCUGAUCAAAUUCUCUGAUGUUGCAUCAUAUUUGCCACGUAGAGAGUUCAAAAUUUACGGUGGGCAAAUUUCUGAUUCAAAUUCAGACUUGAGUUUCAACAGUAUUUGUAAGCAAAUUGAUGAAGGUAUAGCAGAAAAUUUCUCAGAGUCAGAAGUUAUUCGAACAGUGUUAAAGGUUAUCAAACCUGGUACCUUCAAAGAGAUGCUUAUUACAAAAGACAGCCUUACCGUAGCUGAGUUGAAACGGUUCCUUAGAGCUCACCUUAGGGACAAAAGUAGUACUGAAUUAUUUCAGGAGCUGAGCAAUGCAAAACAACAGGACAAAGAAUCCCCUCAACAGUUUAUGUAUAGGUUAAUGGGGCUUAAGCAGAGGGUGUUGUUUGCUUCAGAACAAACAGAAUCUGAGUUUCAGUAUGACCGUAAACUGGUCCAAGGUGUUUUUCUACACUCACUGUAUCAGGGUCUGAAUGAAAAAUACACAUUUGUCCGGAGGGACAUUAAAGCAGCAAUAGGUACACAGGAAACCUCAGAUGAUCAGAUCCUAGAACUGAUUACACAGUCUGUUAGUGAGGAAACUGAAAGACAAAAACGAAUGGGUCACACCUACAAAUCCAAAGUCACAAUUGCAAGUGUGACACAGCAGGAGGAUGUGAAGGGGCAAUGUUCUUCACUGAAUCAUGCCGAAGUUAGAGCCAAUCGUGAUGCUAUUCAUGAACUUUCUGUACAAGUAUCUGCAUUGACGAAGAAUCUAGAGAAAGUUGUCAUGUCAAUGGGCCCUGGUGUUCAACAGCAAACCCAAACCGUCGCUGCAAGUGCACAACAACCAGUAAAAUCAGAGGCAAAGGGUAAAUGCCAACAGUGUAUAGCCCAAAAUGUUGAAGUAUGUACUCACUGUUUCUUCUGUGGUCAAGCAGGGCACCGAGCUGUGGGCUGUCUCAUGAAAAGUCGGGCGUUAAAAGAGAGGAGGUCACUGGGGAGGGACCACCAGUGACCGGAGAAGAUCUCGUGUCCCAACCUUCUUUCCAUGCACCCAGAGGUGAGCAACCUGUAACACAGAACACAUCCAACAGAGCAAAGGAAA